rnacentral:rRNA from 1 species
UACGGAGGGUGCGAGCGUUGUCCGGAAUCACUGGGCGUAAAGGGCGCGUAGGCGGCCUGAUAAGUAGGGGGUGAAAUCCUGCGGCUUAACCGCAGGGCUGCCUUCUAAACUGUCAGGCUCGAGCACAGUAGAGGCAGGUGGAAUUCCCGGUGUAGCGGUGGAAUGCGUAGAGAUCGGGAAGAACAUCAGUGGCGAAGGCGGCCUGCUGGGCUGUUGCUGACGCUGAGGCGCGACAGCGUGGGGGAGCAAACAGG